UCCUAGCCCGGAUAACAGUGGAAAUCCUUUUCUGGAAGCUUGCAGCCUUUUGUAGGCAGGAAGCUUCUAGAAAAGAUUGUAACGGAUAGCCGGAAGUUGC
rnacentral:sRNA from 1 species